UACAGAGGUGGCAAGCGUUGUUCGGAUUCACUGGGUGUAAAGGGCACGUAGGCGGUUCAGUAAGUCGGUCGUGAAAUCCCAUGGCUCAACCAUGGAACUGCGGCCGAAACUGCUAGACUAGAGGGUGGGAGAGGAAGAUGGAAUUCCCGGUGUAAGGGUGAAAUCUGUAGAUAUCGGGAAGAACACCAGCGGCGAAAGCGAUCUUCUGGCCCAUUUCUGACGCUCAUUGUGCGAAAGCUGGGGGAGCGAACGGG
rnacentral:misc_RNA from 1 species